GUGCGUGUGUAGAGUCCAGUGUGUGUGUAGAGUCCAGUGUGUGUGGAGUCCAGUGUGUGAGUACAGUCCAGUGUGUGUAUAGUCCAGUGUGUGAGUAGAGUCCAGUGCAUGUGUAGAGUCCAGUGCGUGUGUAGAGUCCAGUGCGUGUGUAGAGUCCAGUGUGUGUGUAGAGUCCAGUGUGUGUGUAGAGUCCAGUGUGUGUGUGUGUGUGUGUGUGUGUGUGUGUGUGUGUGUGUGUGUGUGUGUGUGUGUGUGUGUGUGUGUGUGUGUGUGUGUGUGUGUGUGUGUGU